ensembl:lncRNA
AUGCUUCGGCAGGCAGCAGGCGAGGGCAGGGGGUGCCGCGCCCCGGCGGCAUGGGAAACGGGGAACCCAGCACCAGCCGGGGCUGCCCCAUGGGCAGGGCCGGUCCCUCAGGGGCCACAUUGGGCGGGCAGGGAGAAGGAGGACAAAGAAAAACCACGGACCGCCUUCGGCCCGGUGCCCAGCGCGCCCCGGGCGAUCGCGGCAGCUAGCGGUCACGGUGCCGUCCCGGGCGCCGCGGCAGCCCGCGGAGGCAGCGCAGCCCCCGCCCCGCCGCGCCGCGCCGCCCCCCCGCGGGCCCCGCGCUCACGUGGGGCGGUGCCGGCUCCCCCCGCCCGCGGCUCCGCCCCGCCCCGCCCGACGCCGCUCCCCAUUGGCUGCUCCGCGGCGGCUGCGCCUCCGGCGGCGGGCGGGCCCCUUUGUGACGUCACAAUCAGCUGUUUGAACGUUCUAAUUUCUGCUCCGGGAUCAGCUGGGCGAGGAGCGACACCAGAGGAUACAGCGGCGGCCCGGGCGCGCCCGCCGCUCGGCUCUUCUCGCCUCUGCUUUGGGGGGUGUUUUUGGCUUUCUCGUGGUGUUCUUGUUUACAAAGCAGCCGAUGAUAUUAAAGGCAAGGCCUUUGCACUGAAGCCAAGUGAAGAACCUCAAAAUUGCACUAUACAUCAUUUAACUCAGCUAAGAUUUUGCUAG